rnacentral:rRNA from 1 species
ACGCUCGACACCUACUGGAGGCAGCAGUGGGGAAUAUUGCACAAUGGGGGAAACCCUGAUGCAGCAACGCCGCGUGAAGGAAGACGGUUUUCGGAUUGUAAACUUCUGUUCUUAGUGAAGAUAGUGACGGUAGCUAAGGAGCAAGCCACGGCUAACUACGUGCUAGCAGCCGCGGUAAUCUGAGCGGCUGGCAAGGC